ensembl:lncRNA OPCML-IT1 OPCML intronic transcript 1
GUAAAAUGAAAGGAAGAGAAAACGUGGGGUGUGGAAGACAUUGCCAGUAGCCUGCAAUAUCUUUCCUUCCUUCCUUGCUAAGAGGAGCCAUUGUUUGGGGCAGCAGGUGCCCCAUCCCAAGGACCAACCAUGUUCCCUAAUUUCCAGCAUCCUUUGCAGCUGUGGAUGGCCAUGUGGCCUAUUUUUUUGCCAUUGGGUUGUAAGUGGAAGUUGGAUUCCAAGAGAGCUUUUUCAUAACCCAUGAAAAACUCAGUUACUGCUAGGAUUACACUUUUCUCUUUUUGUCAGCAGCCAUCUUAUGACCAAGAGGUGACUAGCAUGAACACAAAUGCCUUCACACUGAGGGUAGGAAGCUGGAAAGCAGACUUUAGACAGCAGAUGGCAUCCUUGAAUAUCUCAACACUAAUGCCUUUAUGUCCCCAGACUUCAUGUUCUGGGGGAAGAAUCGAUCUCUAUUCAUUUACCCUACCAUACAUGAGGUAUGGACUGCAUGUCUGUCCCUCCCUAUUCCCGUGUUGAACUCCUGACCUUCAACAGGAUGGUAUUUGGAGGUGGGACCUUUGGGAGGUGAUUAGAUCAUGACAGUGGGGCUCUCAUGGAUGGGAUUAGCACCUUAUAUAAGGAGAUAUGUGAGAAAGAUGGUUUUUCUCUCAGCCAUGCGAGGAUAAUAAUGAGAAAACCACUAUCUGCAAACCAGAAACAGUCCUUCGUCAGACACCACAUCUGCCAGUGCCUUGAUCUUGGACUUCCAGCCUCCAGAAUUGUGAGAAAUAAUCCCAAGUCACACCACCUUCUAUUCGAUGGGCUCUACGUAUCAGGAAGGUACCUGUGACUGGUGGAAGGAAAAUGCACUUAGCAGUAAUUAGAAGCUGAGCUCAGGGUGCAGCUCCAGGGACAACGCCCGCAGCCCCGACCUCCUUCCCUGCUCAGUCCAGCACAGGAGGAAGGACACCAUUUUCUCCGGCUUGCAGGUGCCGCGUGCCUUUGCCAGCUCCUCGGACGGCGGCAUGGUGGUUGCUCUGUCCCUCUAGAAGCCUCUGCGCUGCAAAGGUUUGUCGGGUCAUUUGACAGAGCUCCAUGCGUCCCUGGAGAGUGAGGGCCGGCGCUGCUGUCCCGCAUGCUGAGCUCAUUAGUGCAGAACUCACUUCGGCAACUGUGGAGGCAGACAGCAUGAACAAAGUGCACCUGUGAGCGACACUGCCAGCCCUUGGGAGCGGCUGCGGGCCUGCAGGGGUGAGCGGGGCGCGGCGUGGCUCUCUAGGCGCUUAUGGGGGCGGGAAAUGGCGGUGCCCCGGAGUAGCUGCAGGCGCCCCGGGAUAGCUGCAGGUGCCCCGGAAUAGCUGCAGGUGCCCCGGAGUAGCUGCAGGUGCCCCGGAAUAGCUGCAGGUGCCCCGGAGUAGCUGCAGGUGCCCCGGACCUGUCUGCGCGCCGGGACACGGGUGCACUGAUGCGCGGCGGGCGAACCGCUUGCUCUUCCUCCCACAGCAUAGGUGCAUUUUGUCUGCAAGAACGCAUUGGUGGUGUCCUGAUCGACACCGCCAGGACCUGGAGGGGGUGCCUGGCACAGUGACCCCGACGUUGGGCUGGCCCCAGCCUUCCUCUUCUUCCUGCUCUGUGUGGAAGGGGGGCCGCAUCACCCUUGGUUCCAGGCAGCCAGCGAGCAUUGCGCUCCCGGAAACCCCCUCCACGCGGGACUUCACCCCAGAGGGCUCGUCUGCUGAAUAACCGUCACUCAGGCAGCAUCUGGAAAUUCCCCGCACUUUCAGGCUGAGAUGAGACCGCAUGCCUGGGAGAUCUCACGGACAGCGCCGGCUUGGUGGUCAAGCGGUGGGAGGCCGAAGGCCCCGGCCUUUACAACAAGCGGGGGGUCAUAGGAAGUGUCCCUUGGGGCUGGGGACCCAGGGCAGCCGUGCGGAAGGGAGUCACCCAACCAGAGCACGAAGCGCAAGGCCGUGGGCAGCCCCGCAGCCGGGCGGGUAGGACUGCCAGGACUCAGGCAUUCGAGCACUUCACGUGUCACACAUGCUGCGGAGAACCAUUUGCCCUUCGCCACAGCCCUUAGAGUAUCUACCGCGUGUGACUACUGUGGCCUCCACUUCCAAGAGAAGGAAACGGGAGUGGAGAGGUGUUUAGUUGCUUAGCCAAGCUGCCUGAGAGCUGGAGCUGAUAUUUGAACCCGGGCAAGUCUGACUCCAACAUCUGUGUUCCUAAAUAUUCCCCACGUGGCCGUGGGGAAGGUCAACGCAAUGAAUAACGAGAAAGAAGACACACAGCUUAGACAGAUUUUAUGAAUCAGAAUUAAGCAACAUAAGUUGCCCGUCUCCCCCUUCUUCCCUCCUCCCUUCUUCCCUCCUCCCCUUUCUCCCCUCCGUCCCCGCUUCCUUCCUUCAUUUCUAUCAGCCUUUAUUGAAAGCAUCCUACCUGUGUAUUUUCCACAAUUCCUGUCAAAAUCCUGUGCUCCCAGAAGCGGAGCCUCUCCGUCUCUUGGCUCCAAAGCUGUCUGAGCCUGCCCUGGCUUCAGUCCAGAGGAGACCGGCUUCCUUCCUUCCCCUGCGGGCAUCGUCGGCCCUUGCAUUCGCAUCCUUUGCAGGUGAAGGAAUGGCAUGGAAUCUCGCGUGAGAACUUCAUGGUUCCAAUGUCAGAAUUAUGUAGGGAUAAUUAGAAUUCUUAGGCCCUGGUGUGAUGUAGUAGGAAGAAAAGAGGUUAUGGAGUUGGCCAUAGAUAAAAUAGAAUCUCUGCUCUGCUAACUUCUAAUUAUGUGCUUUCAAAAAAUACAUUUCCCUUCCUGGAUAUUCAGUUUCCUGAUGUGGAUAACCCAUCCUGAUGGGCAAUUAUACAAGAAAAUUGAUGUUAAGUUCCUAGCACGGUGCCUGGCACAUUGUCAAUGUUCAAUAAACUUUAGUUCUCAUUUCUCUGUUUCUAGUGGGAUUUUAAGC